AGCCUGAUGGCGCAGCGAGUAGCGCUGCUGCCUCAUGGUGCCUGGAUGUUGUGAGAGGAUGUGGGUUCGAUCCCCGCUCAGUCUG
rnacentral:tRNA from 1 species